GAGUGGUGCUUGGCGUGUAUGGGCAUGUUGGAUCCCUGCUCGGGCAGCGACAACAUUUCUUGCACACCUCUUCAUUUGUCGGCACAAGUAUAAAGCUUGUCCGUUGUUGGUUUUCCUGUGUUGCAUACCUAUUGUGAAGGCAUUCGAUCGACUAAAAUUGUCCCAUCUCCACCUUGCRUCGCUGCUCCAUGAGGGGCGAGCGGCGCGRAGUGGAUCUCAUUGCAUUCGUUGUGUUUCGAUUCCAAUCCAUCUAUAUUGGUGUUUUGGUUGACGACCCACGACGUGUUGCUUGUUGUCUCGGGUAYGGAACAUUGGGUGUGUAYGAGGCCUUGGCCUCCGAUCACCAAAAUUAUGCGUUCUACGCUUUUUGCGAACGACAGUUGGCCCAAUCUUCAUUCGUGCACCUGUGCAUCGGUUGGAGUUGUGUCGACGUCGGUGAAGGAUGCUACCUGGUUGAUCCUGCCAGUAGUCAUAU
rnacentral:misc_RNA from 1 species